GACGAACGCUGGCGGCGUGCCUAACACAUGCAAGUCGAACGGAAAGGCCCUGCUUUUGUGGGUUUCUCGAGUGCCGAACGGGUGAGUAUCACGUGAGUAUCCUGCCCUUGUCUUUCGGAUAACUUCAGGAAACUGGGGCUCAUACCGGAUAGGAGCUCCUGCUCCGUGGUGGGGUUGGGAAGUUUCGGCGGUUGGUGAUAGAUUGGCGGGUUAUCGGCUUGCUGGGGGGGUUGUGGCUUACCAAGGCUUGGCGGGGUAGCCGGCCUGAGCGGGUGACCGGCGACAUUGGGACUGAGAGACGGCCCAGACUGGUACGGGAGGCAGCAGGGGGAAAGAUUGCACAAGGGGCGGAAGCCGGAUGAAGAAACGCUGCGGGCGGGAAGACGGCCUUCUGGGUGAAAAACGCAUGCGCCUGUGACGAAGCGUGAGUGACGGUAAUGGGUAAAGAAGCACCGGCUAACUACGUG
rnacentral:rRNA from 1 species